rnacentral:misc_RNA from 1 species
UAAUAGAGAAUAAUGGUCCCAACUCGCUAUUUAAUUUCAAGGAUCUUGCAUCCUUGAAUGGCAGCAGGAACUGAUAUGAGGGCCUAUAGCUCAGUUCCGGUUAGAGCGCACGCCUGAUAAGCGUGAGGUCGAUGGUUCAAGUCCAUCUAGGCCCACCACCACGUGCCGUGGGGGUGUAGCUCAGCUGGGAGAGCGCCUGCCUUGCACGCAGGAGGCCAUCGGUUCGAUCCCGUUCACCUCCACCACAAUGGUGGUCGGAUAGUGAGCGCGCGAUACUGCUGCCAUUGUGAUCUUUGACAGUUACAUAGGGGAAAGGUGAGCUUUAGUAGUUAAGAUACUAAGGGCGAUUGGUGGAUGCCUUGGCGCCAGGAGGCGAUGAAGGACGUGGUAGGCUGCGAUAAGCUUCGGGGAGCCGCCAAGCAGGCUUUGAUCCGGAGAUGU